AUGACGUUACCAACCCCUCCAGUCGAACUCUUUCAUGGGCAGCAUGUUGAUCACCUUCAUUUGUACUGCUUUCAGAGGCUUCCUGCUCUGUUGUAUUUAUCAAACAAGCAAGGAACUUCUUGUCCACUUUAUGGAUGUCCUGAGGUAAAAAUACAACACAAUCUUAGAUUAGUUUUCACCACAUAAGAAAAAGGCUAUGCUUUGUGACAUUGCUAUCUUAAGUGUCUAGCCAUGCAAGUUCCUCAAAGCACAAAAAGAGCAGAAGGGUAAAAAUACACUCUCUCAUUGUGUGGAUCAUAUUGUUGGUAAACCGGUAGGGGUAAAUAAUAUUGUGGAUUUUUACAACAAGACCCUCAGCUUGACCGCUGGUUACAUCCACAGCAACAUUUUCAGAAUAAUUAAUAGAAUAUGUGAGUCAAAUUAUUUUUACAUUACCCAGUGUUAAAUAAGGAUAAAUUAAUUAAAAAUCUUUAAAUUAUUUAUUAAAUUAGUAGUCUUUUUACCUCUGGUAUGAACACUGGGUUACUCCAGUCGAGAGUGAAUUGGGACCUUGAGCAUCCUCUUAAAAGAGUAAGAAGAAAAACAAUUAGUUAAUGUGCACUAAAAAGCUGAUUUCAGUCCUGAUGUCAGUCUAGAGCUGUACCUCUGCUGUCUUUCCCUGAGUUAGGGCUCUUUCUGCUCUGGGCUUGGGCAGAAAGGGAAGUACAAUGUCUGUGUGAAAUGGAUAACACCUGUACUCAAAUCCUAUGAGCAAAGAAAAGCUAAUUAUAACAUAAAUAUCUGUACAUUAGUCAUUCUAAAUCAGCUUACUGAAUUUCUCCAACCUGUUCUUGAAAUAACACUGACCCCCAUGUUACUGACAUCUGUGUACAUGGCACUUGAGUCUCCUCCACAGGAGGAGAGUUGUAUUUGCUGAGCCCUGUAACUUGGUUGAUGUAAACCAGUUUUCAGCUCUGGAAGUCUUUGAGUCGGUACCAUAAAAACCAUGUUUAUCUUCUUCAGUGUCAUUUAACGCCAACUUCCUCUUUUUUGGAGAAAUUUUCUUUGGGAAGCAGAAUUUUUUCAAACUAUCUUCUGCCUCUUUUCCAUCUAUAAUCGAAAUCUUUUGGUUUUUGCUUCCCGUCACAUUGUUAACUGGCAAAUCAUUAUGGCUUAUAUUUGGACAAACUGCACUUUCAUCUUCUUU
ensembl:lncRNA